rnacentral:lncRNA from 1 species
GUUAUCAAGGCAGUUGUUAAAGUAGCAUUAUCACGUUCCACGACUCAAGGAAUUCAAUCGAAAGCGGUUGAACGAUGAAAGAUAAUGGCAGCAGUUAAGAGGCAGUUUCAUGACAAAAUGGCCACUACAAAGAAAGUGGGAAGUUAUAGGACGAUCAAGCAGUUUUCAGGGUAGUUAAUCACAAAGAGAUCGUCUAGGAGGUAUAAAAGGGAGAAAGGACGC